GUAGUUUCUUGACUGUGGAAUGUCUCCCCAAUGCAGUUCACUUAGUGCUGUCUUUGUCAUACAGUAUUUCUGGUGCCAAGCAAAGACAUUUUCCCAGACAUUUGGACAGCACUGAUUAUCAGGCUUUUGGUGGUCUUGUGUGAAUGGAGGGAGUAUUUUGUACUGUCUCAGAUGACUUUUUCUUUGAAGGAACAUGGUUGGCAUUUUGUGUUUAUGUUAUUUUAUUGAAUUUGUUAUGUAUUUUAGUAUUGUAAAUAGUUUCUGGAUGUGUAAAGCGAUAUAUAAAUAUAAUAAACUAAUUAUUGUUGCAGCAUUAUGGACAAAGAUCAUUAUGAACAAAGACAAACUGAUUGUUAUUUCGCUUAAUUCUGGAGACACUUGUAAACCACAAUGUUGGAAAAUUAGUCAGAGAAAGCCCUGCUCGAUGGUGCAGCUGAUGUGAGGUUCCCUACAUGAUAAAAUGGAAAAAUAAAAACUGUGCCAAUUGCAAGACAUUCAGCACAGAUGAGUGUAUUUCCUUUGCAAAUCUUGCAUUUUGUUGUUUAAUUCUAGUCAAAUACAGCCAUGCUGUCCCUUGCCAGAUGCCACUACUCUCAUCUACUUGCUUUAGCAGUAAUGCUAUUUUCAAUGAGAUCAAAGUAUUAGAAAAAUAAGUAAACUUCAUUCUCUGAGUAAUGAAGUGAUAAAAUGCAUUCAGACUGAAUGGAUUCCAGUGACAUAAUUUCAGAAACAUCUCUUUUCUAAAUGGACAAGGCAAUUCAUUAACGAUUAAUUGUAACCAAUGGUAUUACAGCAAUGUUAAGAGCCAGCAAC